GUGAAUUAUUGUGGAACUUCAAAAAAAUAAUUAUAUCCUAAUGUUAACGAUAAUGUUUAAAUCUACAAUUGUUCUUAUUUUACUAUAGCAUGUUUUAGUAAUUAAAGAUCUUUAUGCUGAGACCCUGUAAUGUAACUAUCAGUAUUAUAAAAAAACCCAAGAUGCUAGUUUUGAGACCCACUGAAAUUUACACUAAUUUUGGCGAUUAAGUUCUGCAGGGGAAGUUGCGGUUGCUGCUAUUAUCCAGGAAGGUGGUGAGUGUAUCGUGUCCAGUUUGGCUAGAUCCAGUCCUUAGGGUGGCUUAGGCCUUUUAUUUAUUUAAAGAAAUAAAAUACAGAAGAGCCAUUGUGUGAUAGGGUGGAUUAGAAUGCAAAUCAAGUCUUUUUUGCCAGUGGUGUUUACUGCUUGCCAAGAGUGUGAAAGCUAUUUAGAGGAUAGCGCCUUGUUUGUACUUUAGAGAGCAAUUGCAAUAGUGUAGGCUAGCAGAGCUCUGAGGCAUUUGCUUCUGUAGAGCUGUUCUCACUGUCUGCACCUUAAUGACAUGCACGAUUGGUCCAUGGUUGUGGAGGCUGUCCUGGACAUGCUCAUCUCUACAUUGAGGACAGGCCUCAUCCUCAUCCUUUCUCUACCACGACCACACAGCUGACUGUCCCAGGUUUCAAUGGCUUGAAAAGAUGUCAAUUUCGUCAUGAGCUUUCAAAGUGGGUAGUUAAAAACAAUAACACAUUUGUGACUACCAGCUGCAUGCACGCGUACGUAUCUGUGGAAGAAUACCCUUUGCAGUGAAUUAGAGGAAUCAGGCAGACAGAUGCAACAGCGUGCAAAAGAGAAUAGUAACUACCAUGCAUGAAAAUCAGUGCUCCAUGAAGAAACUCCAUUGAGACAUCCUCAUUUUCAUCCAGCCACUGAAUGACAAAUGGUUCAAACCAUCUGAAAAUUAAAACCAAUCUUCUAAAGUAUAUUCCUUAAAGAUUUGUCACUGUGACCAUUCCUUAAGGAUUUGUCACUGUCUUCAUGUCUGUUCUAGUUGCCAUAAGAUACUGUGACUAACAGAACACAUUUCAGCUUAACUGUGCUACUCAUUCUGGUAUUCCCUGAUGACAAAGAGUUUGCAGUGGCCAUUAGAGAAAUGUACUCAUGUUUUGCAGAGGGUCAUAUUCAUAUCUAUUUCACAGUGUGCCUUUUCCAAUAUAGGUUUCCUUUUAUUUGCACAGGAAAGAAUGUGGAGAAAGCUUUUCUUUAAUAAAAUGUCAGAUGUUUCAUCUUU